rnacentral:rRNA from 1 species
UACGUAGGGUGCGAGCGUUGUCCGGAAUUAUUGGGCGUAAAGAGCUUGUAGGCGGUUUGUCGCGUCUGCCGUGAAAAUUCGAGGCUCAACCUCGAACUUGCGGUGGGUACGGGCAGACUAGAGUGUGGUAGGGGAGACUGGAAUUCCUGGUGUAGCGGUGAAAUGCGCAGAUAUCAGGAGGAACACCGAUGGCGAAGGCAGGUCUCUGGGCCACUACUGACGCUGAGAAGCGAAAGCGUGGGGAGCGAACAGG